UACGUAGGGUGCAAGCGUUGUCCGGAUUUAUUGGGCGUAAAGAGCGUGUAGGCGGCCAGGUAGGUCCGUUGUGAAAACUCGAGGCUCAACCUCGAGACGUCGGCGGAAACCAUCUGGCUAGAGUCCGGAAGAGGAGAGUGGAAUUCCUGGUGUAGCGGUGAAAUGCGUAGAGAUGUGGAGGAACACCUGUGGCGAAGGCGCCUUGCUGGCCGAUUUCUGACGCUGAGGCGCGAAAGCGUGGGGAGCAAACAGGG
rnacentral:rRNA from 1 species